rnacentral:ncRNA from 2 species
UUUCCAACCCCGGGGAGCCAUGAGGCUGAGAGGGCGGUUCGAGUCCGCCGACCCGUCGAACCUGAACCGAUUAGCAUCGGCGGAGGGAGUGGGCAGACGGCAACGG